CGUGAAAGUAUAACUCUGAAACGAGUAGUCACAGAGUAAAAUAUUUGUAAAUAAAGGCACGUGGCGUAACAUGUCAACAAUGAUUUCGAAUUGACAAUUAUUUUUAAAUAGUUACAUUUAAAGCAAACUAUAGCCUGUUUCGUUUUUCGCGCGUGUAAUUUCGCUGCAUUAGACGGCAUUUGCCUACAUUAGUGGGACUUGGGUGGAAGAUAUGUGUGUCAUUAUCCGGACAUGUGACAACACCAUGAUUCGUGUUUAUUUAAUUAUUGAGAGCAGACGAUAAUCCCACUUGUUAAUUACGCUGUACACGAUUAGUUAUUGUAUUGUGUAUUGUUUCGUUCAUAGCCAUACAAUGACUGACAUUAAUAUCUUAAGAACUGUUAAUGACACUAUUAUCAAUGUGAAGUUGCAACUUCCAAAAGAACCACCUGAUUAUCUUGGAAUCGAAUUUCUGGAGAAUGAAAUGGAAUUGAUGAACCAGAAGAUCCAAAACGCUUGUGAAAUGCCAUUAGCGGCGAGUCCUAUCUAUAUGUCAAGAGUAAUAGAUGCCAGAGUAUUGUCAACGGGUGAAGAUGUUAAACAAAUCAUUGAGAUGUCACUUGACAUAAAAGAAGAAAAUAUGUCUUGGCAUCCAGGGGAUACAAUAGGAGUAAUUCCACAAAAUCCAGUGGAGGAAGUAGAGGAGCUGUUGGAAUUGUUGGGUGUUAGAGACAAAGCAAAUAUCCCAGCAAAAAUAUUUGUUAGAACUGACUCUCUGGAAAAGAAUUUUGUUGUACCACCAUAUUUACCAUCAGUUUCAACACUGAAACACAUUUUCUGUACAUGUUUAGAUAUACGAAGCCUACCCAAAAAGGUCCUGCUCAGAGUGUUGGCGGGGCACGCCUCCCUGCCGGAGGAACACCUCCGGCUGGAGCAGCUGUGCAGCCGGCAGGGCACGCGCGACUACGACGCCUGCAUUGUGGGGACGGGGGCCACCCUGCUGACACUACUUCGUGCGUUUCCGUCGUGUCGGCCCCCGGUCACCCGUGUCCUCCAGCUCCUGCCGCGCCUCACUCCGAGGCCGUACUCGCUCGCCUGCUCGGAGGCUCCCCCGCGUGUGGUGUUCAGCGUCAUUCCUCACGGCCUGUGCACCAACUGGCUGAGAAGUCGACUAGAAAUAUUUUGCGACCUGAGUAAAAGGCUCUCGGCUGUGGAACUCAAAGACAGUGUGGAACGGGAUGUUCGGAUUCCAGUGUAUUUUAGGAAGGCGAGCAAUUUUCGCAUGCCUCAUUGUCAUGAGAAACCACUGAUACUUAUUGGUCCUGGAACUGGAAUUGCUCCAUUUAUUGGGUUUCUCCAACAAAGAGAAACGGAACAGUUAAAGUUUCAAAAUAAGAAACUCGGCACAAUCUGGCUAUUUUUUGGUUGUCGCUAUUCUUCACGAGAUUUUAUUUAUAGGUCAGUACUUCAGCAGUUUGUGGAGAAACAGAUCCUGUCACGCUUAUUUGUUUCGUUUUCCCGUGAAAGUGAUGAAACUAGUCCAAAAUAUGUUCAGGAUAAUGUGAGACUUUAUGGGAAAGAUUUUGUGACAAAACUAAUCGAUGAAGGUGGUUCCGUAUUCAUCUGUGGCGAUGCAAAAAAUAUGGCUAAAGAUGUUCAGGAAGCAAUUUCAUAUGUUAUACAGAAAGAAAAAGUUUUAUUGUAGGAAUAUCUGAAGAAGCAGCUCAAAACUGUAUAAAACAACUGAAAAAUUCCGCAAGAUAUGUGCAAGAUGUAUGGAGAUAAAUUGAAUACUAAGUUAAACAUUCAAUCACAGACGAUACUGCAGUUCUCUCUCCGGAUGACCAGAGGUCCCUGCUGAGUAAGAGAUCUGUGCCUUAAUCACUUGUCUUGGCCACUGAGGCAACUCUAUUUAUGAGAUAAACACAUAAAAUAAAAUUAAAUAUACAAAGCAGUUGUAAAUGUAAUCCUUCGUCUAUUUCUUGUUUCCAACAUACAUAAAUAUUUUGCUGUUAGGAAAGUUCUGGCACAAUGUAAAUAAUUUAGACAUAAAGGAGAUGGCUGGCCGAAUUGUGGAAGUGUUGAGUCAUAGACUGGCACAUAAAAAGGAAUGAAAAGUAUAGAUCGCUGCUCACAGGCGCAUGCACACGCCCAUGCUGGAACUGCAAUUGGGGUGGAGGCAGGCAGCAGGGGGAUGGGCACAGGAUGCAACACACAAUUGUGAAGGUGACGACAAUGUAGAGUGCGUGCUGGACCGGAAGAGAGGAGCUGAUGGGUAGGGGUGUGGGUAUAGAUCUUAACCCAGGGCCACCCAUGAAAGGAGCCAUGCCAUGUCAUGUGGAAAUCCCUGCACAGCAUUUUAUGCGGGCACAAUCACCAAUUCCUUUUCCACCAGAAAGUAUGGUAACUGCAAAACUAGGCCAAAGGCAGUGUUGUUGGAACAUGCUGCUACGUGCAACAUGCUCAGGGUCAGUGGCCGCUUUCCUUCACUAUGCAUAUUUGAGUUGGCCUUGCACUGCAUAUUUAUGUGUGUGUGUACACUUUUACUAUUUAGUAAGUUGUCUCCUUUACUCCUAAGUUAUAUAAAUAUAUGUUGUGAAAAUUACAGCCAUUGACUGAAUAUCCAAUUUUCCAUUAAACACACAUCUCAUUUCCAUGUCACUUGGAUAGUCAUAUGAGGAAAAAAAAAUUGUAACAUCUUCAUAAGCCAGGAGAUGCUAAAUAUCCGUAAAUUGGAAUAAAAAUACA